GGGGCAUAUCACUGGAUUUCUCUGCUUACCUGAGGCCUUCUGAAGCAUACUUCCAUGCUCUACAGAGUCUCGAAGAAAGCAGCAGCAGGAAGCUUAGACUCCAUUUCCCCACUCUUUCCCAGCUAUAAUGAAGAUGUCCUGCUAGCAGAUGUUAUAUGACAGCAUCCUAGUAUUCAUUGCAAUACUGGGGAAGUAGCAGCAGAAAUGGAAAGCCCCUUGGUCUUCAAGAAACCAGCAUCUACUGGAGAGGUCAGGGCUGGAGAUGCUGCCAAAAGAGCCACAGAAGCAUGAUGCAAACUGUAUCCUCUUGCUGGGCUUUGGGAACUGCUCAGCUUUCAGCUGGGUUUGUGCCACUCAGGCUGUUCCUGUUAGGAGAAAGCUGGAGGAGUGCCCUUUUGCCCAAGGUCUGAUCUCCCAGGGGCUGCUGAGAUGCUAGCUGAUUCCCUUGUUGCUGCAUAGCUACCUGUGUUUCAGUGUAAGUGUAUGGGGACGUCAGCAAUACUCUGUAUGAUGUGGAUGUAUCAGUGUAAUACAUGAGAGAGUUCUUUUUCCCAUCUCCACCUCUGCAGGCUCCGGGAUGCUGCCUGAGUUCCCCUUUGGACUCCAGAGUCCCAUUGAGAUCAUGACAGCCAUGUUUAUGUGCUAUUCUAAUGCUGGUUGUUGCAGUGUAAGUGCUUUUUAAUGCAUGGCAUUACAGCAGGUGCAUGCUGUUCUCUCCCUUACCAAAUGGCUGUCUGGAGGGAUGUAAUUCCGGCUUCUGCCUCAGCAUGCUGUUAUUUACAAGUGUGGUUACACGGUUUGUGCCACCUCGGAGCUUAAUUUAGUUAAUUUGGUGCACAGCACAUGAGAACCACCUUUGCAGAAUGAGUGCUGUGAUACCCAGCUGGCUCAGGGAUCCCAUAACUGCAUCUCGGAGGUGGGAGGACUUCAGAAGAGCAUUCAGGGAGCAACGAGCAGUGGUGUCAGGAGCAUGAAGUCCCAUCACUUCUAUAUGUAAAACUAGAGCAGGACACAUGCGAUGUGUGUCUUGGGGUGGCCAGGUCUGUGGUAGCUCCUUGGCCAUUGACGCAGAGCUUUGUUGAUUGUCCCCACAAAGGCUUUUGGCUAUGGAUUUGUGGAUGUGGUUGUAGAAUAAAAUGAAAUUCCACCUCCUCAUACUGGACUGGUUCCUAUAGCCGUUCACACAUUUCAGUGUGAAAUUCUGCUGGGAGAGGGAGCUCAGCUGGAAGCAAUACACCUAACAGAGAUAUUCUGGGCUGACUUUUUUCAGAGGGAAUGAUCUGUUCUGAUGACAUUCACUUGAUCACGUGUAGCUCUUGCCCUUAGAAGCCUUUGGUGUUGCUAUUGGUAUUGAGUGAGGAACUGCAAUGAAGUGCCAUCCAUGUGUCCAGUGUGCUGAGAAGACUCUGGGGUCGGUGGUGCAGUGAGGAAGCAGGAGCUGAUGAGCUGUGGCAUGAGGAUUCUCAGGGAACCUUUCCCAGAUUAGUUGUAAGAGACAGCCCUUGUAUAAGUGUUUAAGUGCUCCAUAAGGUACUGCCUGUGGCAGCAGAUUAGGGUCACAGAGGAAGGAGGAGGCUUGCCUGGGCUCCAGAGGCAGAGCUCAAUUUCUGUGUCCUGGAGCAACAUCUCUGGCUUCUGUCUUGAUGGGUUCUUCCUGGAGACGUGUAGGAGCCCUGGAUAGGAAGCAGCAAGACAUACCUGAUCCUUGCAGCCUGAAAAUGACUUGCCACAAUAACCAGUGCUGUAGGCACUAAAAGGGAGCUUCAGAUACCUGGAAAGGAGAAAUCCUGUGCAAAGACAGCUCUCUUGCAUGUCCUCCUCCCAUCCAGAAGGUACUAAAAGCUUGGUGGGUGACUUCUGGAGUUACCUGCCAGUCCUGGCUUCCCCAGGAGCUACCUGAGAUGGUUCAGAGCCAACAGACUUUACCCUCUUUGCCAGAGUCACCAGUUUCUGGGUGAGUUGCUGGUCAUAGACCACCUUAUCCAGGUGGCAAGUGGGAAUCUGGGCUGCUGCAGUGCAAGAGCUGGAAGAUUUUAUUUACAUCUGUUAUAUAUGUUUAUAACACCUGAGUUUAAUAGGCUAAAAGAUCAGGAAUUUUCUUUCACUGAAAAGAAAUUCCACUGACUGCUUUUCUGUAUCUAUCCAUGCUACCACUUUCCAAUAUCUGUGUUUUCCUGUAGCAACAUAGUGGGUACACAGUGGUUCCAGUUUUCCCUGAUGUCCACAAGCAGAUGAAUUUCAAAGGUGUUUCCCAUGGAUGCUCCUGCAGGCAGUGAGGAGGCCAGAGAUGUGAGUGUCACAAAAGCAGCAAAGAAGCAAAACAUCUCCUUUGGGCUCCUGUGGCUGUGUUUGCCCCCAAGUGCCAGCCCAUGCUCUGUUUUCUCCAGUGGUCAAGCCCUGCUGGAUUGACCAAAAGUUGCUCCAUCCCUGGGGUCAGUCAGAGCCCCAUGGGACUAUGGGAAAGGCUUGGUGAGUGGGAGCUUUCUGCAUUGAGGGCAGGCAGGGUGGUGAUGUUCAUGGCUUCAUCAAGGGCUCCUUUUUCUUUGCAAAGAACUCUUGCUUGCUCGCUCAGCUUGCUGCACUGGUGAGAAUGUACUUACUGGCUUAACUACUGAGAUAUCUCUAAUGGAGAAUUUAAUCUCCAGAGCGUUGCUGUCUCUUAUGUUUCCUGUGUCUUAGGUGCUCAAUAAAUGCUUG